rnacentral:lncRNA from 1 species
UACAUAUGCAUCUGUACAUAUUUGUGUGUGUGUGUCAAUGAAUCUUGGAAGAAAAGUGUGAAACUGAGCUUCAGUUUCAAAACGGAGCUAUCCUACUCAAAUACAGAAUGUAACCAAGUCGUUAGUAAAGGCUUAUUGGGCAACAGCAACAACAAAGAGUUGACUCCAAAGAGGAAGGCCAACCAAGGAAGCAUGAUGGUGAUCUUAGAGGGCAUGAUAAACUGAUGGUCAUGCUGGCAACUGCUUUGUGGGGCAUUAGCUGUCGCUCCAGGGGUCAUAUAACAGAAGGUUCAUUGUGUAGCAGGUGAAGUGAUCAUUGUGCUAGGAACAGGUGCUUUGGGGAUCCCCCUGCUGAGAAUUUCCCUGAGGCCCUAUAUCUGCUUCCAGGCUGCACCCUCCCCCAUUCUAAUGGAAGGGCUCACUGGUUUUCAGCCAUCUGAAGGGAAUGCCUCCUGGAGACUGGGAGAACACAAACAAGCAGAUCUGCAAUGUGGUGUGAAGAAAACAGAGGAGGCACAAAUAUAGUGUGGCUAUUAAAACCAAAGUUUUGUAGAGCUUCAAAGGAUCCAAGGAACCAUCUAGGCAUUCCUAAGACUUAGAAAUUUAGGGCCCACAGGGUACAGGAUCUGCACAGGACCUGUUCAAGAU